GGAGAGAUGGGUGAGUGGCUGAAACCAGCAGUUUGCUAAACUGCCGUACUCGUAAGGGUACCGAGGGUUCGAAUCCCUCUCCCUCCGCAA
rnacentral:tRNA from 1 species